GCCUGUUUCUUUUCUUGUCCAGAACCACAUUCCUUGCCAUUUGGAGUAUAUCAGUCAAUUAUGGAUCUUCCUUGAGUAUCUCCUACAAGAUAGGUUCAAUCUGUCCUGAGCCUCAUUACAGACUGAUAGUUUCAGUGAGUGAGGAAUGAGGAAGUAGGGGGCCUUCUGAAAUGUGAGCUGAUGCCAGGUAAGAGACUUCUGAUGAUAAGAGCCAGGCUGACAUGUAACGGGGUUCUGUCCUUGUUAUCUGCGCUCUACCUUUAUGUAUUAUUUUUGAGACUGGGUCUCGUCGUAGCCCUCCAGCGGGAGCCCAGUGGUGUGAUCGUGGUUCACUGUGGCCUCAACCUCCUGGGCUCAAGUGAUCCUCUUGCCUUAACCUCCUGAGUAGCUGGGACCACAGGCACACACCACCACACCCAGCUUUUUUUUUUUUUUAAGAGAUAGGGUCUUGC
rnacentral:lncRNA from 1 species